GAUGAAGAACGCAGCGAAAUGCGAUAAGUAGUGUGAAUUGCAGAAUUCCGUGAAUCAUCGAAUCUUUGAACGCACAUUGCGCCUUCUGGUAUUCCGGAAGGCAUGCCUGUUCGAGAGUCAUUAACAACCGUUUCGAUCCCUUUCUUUCAGAAAUUACAAAGAGGAAAAGGGUUUGGUUAUGGUGGAGGAGGGAAAGGGAGCGUUUAGCCUGUAAAAAAAGAGGCUGUGUUCCGCCUCCCCCCCAAAAUUGUACAGGCGGUCGUGUGCGCCCACGCAUCGAGGUGUUGUAAAAGCUGCCACGGCACUUUUCACCUGUGCAGUGCGAGAUUGGCCAGCCGGUUUAAAAACCCCUCCAAACAAUCAAAGGUUGACCUCGGAUCAGGUAGGGAUACCCGCUGAACUUAAGCAUAUCCAAUAAGCGGAGGA
rnacentral:misc_RNA from 1 species